rnacentral:rRNA from 1 species
UACGGGGGGAGCAAGCGUUGUUCGGAUUUACUGGGCGUAAAGAGCGCGUAGGCGGUCAGUGCAAGUCAGUUGUGAAAUCUCUGGGCUUAACCCAGAACGGUCAACUGAUACUGCUCGACUAGAGUACAGAAGGGGCAACUGGAAUUCUCGGUGUAGCGGUGAAAUGCGUAGAUAUCGAGAGGAACACCUGCGGCGAAGGCGGGUUGCUGGGCUGAUACUGACGCUGAGGCGCGAAAGCUAGGGGAGCGAACGGG